rnacentral:misc_RNA from 1 species
GGACGACAUCCAUCCUAUGCAUCGUAACUCAUCAUUCUUUAUGAUACAUUUGUGGUCCAUCAUUCUUAACCAUCUACCAUAUUUUGCUAAGGCAUUGGCCCAUGCUGAACUGUAUAAUUAAUUCUUGAUGUUGACCUAAUAUUGCUAGCUUUUUUCUAAGUUUUGGUUCUGGAUCAAUCAUUGAUCUGAAUUGUAUGACGAUU